AGUGAACGCUGGCGGUAGGCCUAACACAUGCAAGUCGAACGGCAGCACAGUAAGAGCUUGCUCUUACGGGUGGCGAGUGGCGGACGGGUGAGGAAUACAUCGGAAUCUACUUUUUCGUGGGGGAUAACGUAGGGAAACUUACGCUAAUACCGCAUACGACCUACGGGUGAAAGCAGGGGAUCUUCGGACCUUGCGCGAUUGAAUGAGCCGAUGUCGGAUUAGCUAGUUGGCGGGGUAAAGGCCCACCAAGGCGACGAUCCGUAGCUGGUCUGAGAGGAUGAGCAGCCACACUGGAACUGAGACACGGUCCAGACUCCUACGGGAGGCAGCAGUGGGGAAUAGUGGACAAUGGGCGCAAGCCUGAUCCAGCCAUACCGCGUGGGUGAAGAAGGCCUUCGGGUUGUAAAGCCAUUUUGUUGGGAAAGAAAAGCAGCAGGUUAAUACCCCGCUGUUCUGACGGUACCCAAAGAAGAAGCACCGGCUAACUGCGU
rnacentral:rRNA from 1 species